AACGAACGCUGGCGGCAGGCCUAACACAUGCAAGUCGAGCGGACCCUUCGGGGUUAGCGGCGGACGGGUGAGUAACGCGUGGGAAUAUGCCCUUCUCUACGGAAUAGUUCUGGGAAACUGGGGGUAAUACCGUAUACGCCCUUUGGGGGAAAGAUUUAUCGGGGAAGGAUUAGCCCGCGUUGGAUUAGGUAGUUGGUGGGGUAAUGGCCUACCAAGCCGACGAUCCAUAGCUGGUUUGAGAGGAUGAUCAGCCACACUGGGACUGAGACACGGCCCAGACUCCUACGGGAGGCAGCAGUGGGGAAUCUUAGACAAUGGGGGCAACCCUGAUCUAGCCAUGCCGCGUGAGUGAUGAAGGCCUUAGGGUUGUAAAGCUCUUUCAGCUGGGAAGAUAAUGACGGUACCAGCAGAAGAAGCCCCGGCUAACUCCGUG
rnacentral:rRNA from 1 species